rnacentral:rRNA from 1 species
UACGGGGGGUGCGAGCGUUGUCCGGAAUCACUGGGCGUAAAGGGCGCGUAGGUGGUUUGAUAAGGGCGUGGUGAAAGCCCGGGGCUCAACCCCGGGUCGGCCGUGCCGACUGUUGAACUCGAGGGCUGUAGAGGCAGACGGAAUUCCGGGUGUAGCGGUGGAAUGCGUAGAGAUCCGGAGGAACACCAGUGGCGAAGGCGAUCACCUGGGGUUGUUCUGACGCUGAGGAGCGAAAGCUAGGGGAGCAAACGGG